GAUGAAGAACGCAGCGAAAUGCGAUAAGUAAUGCGAAUUGCAGAAUCCGUGAGUCAUCGAAUCUUUGAACGCAUAUUGCGCCCGCUGGUAUUCCGGCGGGCAUGCCUGUUCGAGCGUCAUUUCAACCCUCAAGCCCCCGGGUUUGGUGUUGGGGAUCGGCUCUGCCCUUCUGGGCGGUGCCGCCCCCGAAAUACAUUGGCGGUCUCGCUGCAGCCUCCAUUGCGUAGUAGCUAACACCUCGCAACUGGAACGCGGCGCGGCCAUGCCGUAAAACCCCAACUUCUGAAUGUUGACCUCGGAUCAGGUAGGAAUACCCGCUGAACUUAAGCAUAUCAAUAAGCGGAGGA
rnacentral:misc_RNA from 1 species